AGGGAGACGUAAAUGAAUAAAGAGAGGAAAGGAGAUGAAUGGAGAAGAAAGGAAAAGGAAGAACAAAGAAGCAAAGGCCAAGGUCGCACGCUUGUGCAAGACGUGCAAGCAAAUAGCAUUUCACGAUAGUCGCAACUGUCGAAGCAAAAAAAAAGGCCGUGGAAAAGAAACCAUAUAGUAUCUUCUUUUUUUUUGUAAAAGUAGCCAUAUAUAUUAAGUCAAGGAUACAUGCUACAAGCAGCAGUGCUCUGAAGAACAACAGAGCUAAACAGGGCAGAGCACACCCAAGCAGGAGAGUAAAACUGAAACAACAAUCGUAGAAGGCAUCGGCAGGAGCCAGCACCAUGUCCACAUGAGUAGUCUGUAGCGAAGCAGCAACUUUUUUUUUUUGAUAAAUAGUCACGUCACAAAUCAGCGGCUAUUUUUUAUUGUUUUUCCUAAUUCUGAGAGUCCAUAAGGUUAGGUCCUCAAUUAUCAUUACAAGGCUAUGAGCUGAGCUGACGACCUCAUUAUUGAAGACUUUGGCAUUACGAGCUUUUCAGAUCCUCCACAUAAUGAUUAGUAAGAUGGAAGGCCAAAUAACAAUGUUGAGACUGACAGGAGGAAGGAGAUGCCAAAGGUCGGAGAAGAUAGUUCCAGGAGACGGAAUACCCAGAUACCCAGCUUAUCCCAGACCUGGAGCGCAAGAGGGCACGAGAGAAACAGGUGAUCCCGAUCUUCUGAAUCAUGACCACAGCUCGCACGGGCCGCCGAUUGAGUGUCGAAUUUGUGAUGCAAAUUUUGACGCGUGUUAAGUCGAUCCCUGAAGAGGAGC
rnacentral:lncRNA from 1 species